rnacentral:hammerhead_ribozyme from 1 species
GUCCAGCCGACGAGUCCCAAAUAGGACGAAACGCGCGUCCCAGAU